rnacentral:rRNA from 1 species
CCGUUGCCGGCGACCGGCGCACGGGUGAGUAACACGUAUGCAACCUGCCCGUGGCAGGGGGAUAAGCGGGGGAAACCCCGUCUAAUACCGCGUAACGCGGCCUUGGGGCAUCCCAAGGCCGCCAAAGGGAGCAAUCCCGGCCACGGAUGGGCAUGCGGCGCAUUAGGCAGUAGGCGGGGUAACGGCCCACCUAACCGACGAUGCGUAGGGGUUCUGAGAGGAAGGUCCCCCACACUGGUACUGAGACACGGACCAGACUCCUACGGGAGGCAGCAG